rnacentral:rRNA from 1 species
UCCGGAGGGAGCUAGCGUUGUUCGGAAUUACUGGGCGUAAAGCGCACGUAGGCGGCUAUUCAAGUCAGAGGUGAAAGCCCGGGGCUCAACCCCGGAACUGCCUUUGAAACUAGGUAGCUAGAAUCUUGGAGAGGUCAGUGGAAUUCCGAGUGUAGAGGUGAAAUUCGUAGAUAUUCGGAAGAACACCAGUGGCGAAGGCGACUGACUGGACAAGUAUUGACGCUGAGGUGCGAAAGCGUGGGGAGCAAACAGG